rnacentral:rRNA from 1 species
ACGCUCGACACCUACGGGAUGCAGCAGUGAGGAAUAUUGGUCAAUGGGCGCUAGCCUGAACCAGCCAAGUAGCGUGAAGGAUGAAGGCUCUAUGGGUCGUAAACUUCUUUUAUAUAAGAAUAAAGUGCAGUAUGUAUACUGUUUUGUAUGUAUUAUAUGAAUAAGGAUCGGCUAACUCCGUGCAAGCAGCCGCGGUAAUCUGAGCGGGCUGGCAAGGC